rnacentral:tRNA from 1 species
CCUGGUGUCUCAGAUGGUAAUGAAUUUGCCUGCAAUGCAGGAGACCCAGGUUCAAUUCCUGGGUCAGGA